rnacentral:rRNA from 1 species
GAUGAACGCUGGCGGCGUGCUUAACACAUGCAAGUCGAACGGAAAGGCCCAAGCUUGCUUGGGUGCUCGAGUGGCGAACGGGUGAGUAACACGUGGGUGAUCUGCCCUGCACUUUGGGAUAAGCCUGGGAAACUGGGUCUAAUACCGGAUAGGACCAUCGUUUAGUGUCGGUGGUGGAAAGUUUUUCGGUGUGGGAUGAGCUCGCGGCCUAUCAGCUUGUUGGUGGGGUAAUGGCCUACCGAGGCGUCGACGGGUAGCCGGCCUGAGAGGGUGUACGGCCACAUUGGGACUGAGAGACGGCCCAGACUCCUACGGGAGGCAGCAGUGGGGAAUAUUGCACAAUGGGCGCAAGCCUGAUGCAGCGACGCCGCGUGGGGGAUGACGGCCUUCGGGUUGUAAACUCCUUUCGCCAAGGACGAAGCGUUUUGUGACGGUACUUGGAGAAGAAGCACCGGCUAACUACGUG